CCUAUAAUGCAUCAGGCAUUGUUCUCUUCCAGGAAUGCCUCCACCUCCAAACUGCUACAUUAAAGAAAGUUUGCAAGUUCCCUGAAGGACAGAUACGGAAGAUUAUAAAACCAGCUUCUAGUUUGUCUCCAUGUGGAAGUUCAGCCUUCUGGCCUCUCCCGCACCUCUUCAGUAUCUAUCCUCCUACCGAGCACCCAUCUGAUGGAUCUCUCCCCACUGCAACCCACCCUCCUCUCCAGGACCACUUUUUCUUGCCUGUAAUUCUGGCCUUAGGAAUGCCCAGAGGAGAUCUGUACCCAAAAAGUAUGUUUGAGCAAAGCUAAGUCUCCAGAAUAAAGAUAAUCCCAAUUUACAAGUCAGCCA
rnacentral:lncRNA from 1 species